rnacentral:rRNA from 1 species
AGCGAUGAAACACCUUCGGGUGUGAAUUAGCGGCGAACGGGUGAGGAACACGUGAGAAAUCUGCCUUCAACACUGGGAUAACUCCGGGAAACCGGGGCUAAUACCGGAUAUGAAAUCUGCGGGCAUCCGCGGAUUUGGAAAGUUUUUCGGUUGAAGAUGAUCUCGCGGCCUAUCAGCUUGUUGGUGAGGUAAUGGCUCACCAAGGCGACGACGGGUAGCCGGCCUGAGAGGGCGACCGGCCACACUGGGACUGAGACACGGCCCAGACUCCUACGGGAGGCAGCAGUGGGGAAUAUUGGGCAAUGGAGGAAACUCUGACCCAGCGACGCCGCGUGCGGGAUGAAGGCCUUCGGGUUGUAAACCGCUUUCAGCAGGGAAGAAGCGAAAGUGACGGUACCUGCAGAAGAAGCACCGGCUAACUAUGUGCCAGCAGCCGCGGUAAUACAUAGGGUGCAAGCGUUGUCCGGAAUUAUUGGGCGUAAAGAGCUCGUAGGUGGUUCGUCACGUCGGAUGUGAGACUCUGGGGCUUAACCCCAGACCUGCAUUCGAUACGGGCGAGCUUGAGCAUGGUAGGGGAGUCUGGAAUUCCUGGUGUAGCGGUGGAAUGCGCAGAUAUCAGGAGGAACACCAAUGGCGAAGGCAGGACUCUGGGCCAUUACUGACACUGAGGAGCGAAAGCGUGGGGAGCGAACAGGAUUAGAUACCCUGGUAGUCCACGCCGUAAACGGUGGGCACUAGUUGUGGGGACCUUCCACGGUC